AAUGCUUUCUCAAGGUGCUGAAGAUAUACAACAGCAGAAGAUACUGUAUAUGGGUUUUUAAAUCCUUUUUAGCUGAUAUGAUUAGUCAAACACAAGAAUUCAUCAAUAUUUACCUGCUUUUUAUUCUCAGAUGGCUUAUGAACUCCAUGGUCUCCUGGCUGGAAAUGUCAGCAUCGUUACUGGAGAAAAUAUCAAGCCUUCUUACGGUGGAGAUGAUGAGGCCUUUCUGCUGAAAAGCAAGUAAGAAUGCCACUGGCAAGGCCGCUCACUCAGAUUGGUCCAACUAUGAUGAUCUGUAUGAAUAUUUUUGGUCUCCAGAUUGCUUCUAUCUCGGCUGGCCAAUGCGUGAUGAUGGAGAUCUCUCUCCAGUAUCUUCAUUACAGCAGCUUUUCUACGCUUCCUCCAGAGUAUCUUGGAUAUUAUCUUAAACUUCCCGGGUUUCCACAGAUGGAAAUUUACUGAAAUUUUGAGAAAUAUUCUCAAGAUCGCUGUAAGUCUCGCUUGGUGUGUAGUCUUACCGCUUUGCGAUGCCCAGUCCAAUUCUUCUGCUCCUGGGAUGCUG